rfam:Myotis davidii contig218726, whole genome shotgun sequence.
GGUAGUUCUCGGGUGACGCACCCCGGAAUCAGACUCCCUCCUCUCUGGUUCCGGGUCCAUCAACUGAGAACUGCA